rnacentral:misc_RNA from 1 species
GAUGAAGAACGCAGCGAAAUGCGAUAAGUAAUGUGAAUUGCAGAAUUCAGUGAAUCAUCGAAUCUUUGAACGCAUCUUGCGCGCCUUGGUAUUCUGAGGAGCAUGCCUGUUUGAGUGUCAUUAAAUUCUCAACUACACUGACUUUGAAUUGGUGUGGCUUGGAUUUGGGGGGAAAAUUGUUGUGGGCUUUUUGUAUAGUCUGCUCCCCUGAAAUUGAUUAGCGGUACCUUUGUGGAACUGUCUACAGGUGUGAUAAUUAUCUACAUCUUAGACAUCUGCUGGAAUGCUGCUUUCUAAACCUUACUUGUAUUGACAAUCUUGACCUCAAAUCAGGUAGGACUACCCGCUGAACUUAAGCAUAUCAAUAAGCGGAGGA